AUUUCUAUCAUUCUUUGAGUAAGUCUUUACUUUCUGGCAUAAUAGCUCAUUUCUGGUUCAUGUUUUUGCUUUCCCUUCCCUGCUCUGGUAACAUUUCCACAUUUCUGUCAUUUCUUUUGGAUUAUUACUGUUUCCAAGUCUGCUCAGUCGACAGACCUAGGGAAUACAUGUAUGUACAUCAUGCCUUCUUUCCCAUGUGAGCUUCUGCAUGCCCACAAAACCCAUGUUACUCUAUAAUUAGGUAACAAUUUGUUCUCCUAGAGCAUUCACAAAUGCAAUUAGUCACUUGCUCUUUCAGGAAAAGAGGUGAGUGGCCAAUUUCACCUGCAAUUAACCAAUUACCUCAUGGUUUCAUUUGCUAUGCUUGAGUCCAUGUGUUUUUAAACAUUGUUUGCACUGCAUCCAAAACAUCCAAAGGAAAGUCGGGGGCAGGUUUUCAAAUAGUGAAUUGAUGGCCAUGAGGCAGAACACAGUUUCUCUAAAGUAUGGACUGAAAAUUAGAAAUGGAAAUAAUACAAUCAGACUUACUGUGAAACCAAGAAUGUUCACAUAGUAAAGCGAAGGAUUUUAGAAUAGAAUAUCGGUGUCAGUGUCUGUAAAGCUCACUGGCUUGUACAGUGGCUCUUGCUUCAUAGACCAUUUGUUGUAGUGUCUCCACUAAGUCAGCAGAUUUUAAGAAAUGAAAAACAGUGCCCUUAUUUUCUUUUUCUUUUAUUUUUAAGGUAAAUAUACGCACAGAUGGAUGACUGAUGGAUAGUUAGAUAGGUAGAUGAUAGAUGUAAUCGAAGGAGAUGGUUGCUAAUUUUCAAUAUUUUUCUUGAUUAAUUUCACCUACAACUAAGAUAUUUCAUUUUCAGUGAGAAUCCUGCCUCAACCCUAAAAUUAAAACACCUUACUUCAAAUUUAAGAUGGGAAGAAGAUAAUUGUUUCUGUUUCUCCUUGGUCCCCAUCCCUGUGCUCACCAAGAUCUAACCUAAUCUCCACCUGGUACCUCAAUCCCUUUUAGUUACAGGAUUUAGAUUCUCCUUUUCCAGUAACUUGUAUAAUAAAAAUGAAGGAAUUAAUGGUUGAUUCUGCCAGAUAACACUUAAAAUGGCUAUUACCACAGCUCACAGUGAUGCCAGAUUUCCAACCCACUGAGCAAGGCCAGGGAUCAAACCCCCAUCCUCAUGGAUACUAGACGGGUUCGUUACCACUGAGCCACAACGGGAACUCUAGGAAGUCCAAAAUGAUAUAUUUUUAAUAUAUUUUAUAUAUAUUUAAGCCCACAUUGAUAUUUUAAGAUUGUUGAGGCACAUACUCAAUAAUUUAGCCAAGCAGAUUGUGAUAAGUGAUAUAAAGCAAUUAAACAUGAAAAAAUAUAUAAGCAACAGGGAAUAUGACCAAUUUCAUAGUGAUAAUAUGUAAGACACUGGCAUGUGGAGUUGGUAGAAAGGCAUUUCUUGAAGAACUAAGUGAAGUAUAAAGUCAUCCUUUGAAUAAGCAGAGCAGAGGACCAGAGACAUAAGGAGGUGGGAAAUAUAAGAAGUAUUUGGAGACAUUAAAAAAACAUUCACUCAAUAAUUUUCAAGCACCUCUGUCAGAGAAUAAAGAUGGUUACAAAAUCUUUGAUACUCUUUCCUUUGAUUCUAGGAAGGCUCUGCUUUCAAAUUACAUUUUACAUUGUACUAUUUAGCAGAAUUUAUAUUGUGCUAGUUUCUGGGCUGAGACAGCUUCUAUUUUCUGUCUCUUUGGAUACCUGCUCUUGGAACCUAACACCCAUGCUGUAAGGAAGCCCAAGCAACAAUUCCAGGCAGCGAGGAAUCAGGUUCAGCUCCAACUUGAUGGCCAGCACCCACCUAUAAGCCAUGUAAUUAAGCCAUCUUUGACAUGUAUUAUCCAGCCCUGGUCAAACUGAAGCAGCUUGAUCAGAGAUAGCCAAAAUGCAAAUCCAUUCAUAAAAUAGUGUGUUAUUUUUGUUUUAAGCCACUAAGAUUUGGGGCAAUAAGUUGCCAGAUCAAUAGAUAACAGAACAAUAACAAUAAUAAUACCAGGACUGUACCGAGCCCAUUGUACCUGGAAAAUAAACUGAUAAAUUUAAGUCCUGUGUUCAUGAAGUUUACAAGUUUGUGCAGUGCAGCUGGAAAUGGGGUAUAGGUAUGGAAGAGAGUGGGAUGUUGUAGAAAAUGAGUUGAGAAAAGUAAGUUUAUUAGUGAUUAUUUUGAGAAUGUGUUAUAAGUAUUUAUAAAAAUGUUUAGAUGUGAAUGUAAACUAUUAAAAUGUUCCUAAGUGAAGAGUCAUGCUUUAGGACAGUGAAGGUGAUGUUAGUAUUUGGGUUGAUAAGAAAACAGUCUUUAAUUCUUAAUCUAAUAAUGGACCACCAGUGCAUGUGCAGAAGUUCACUGAGUACCAUUCAAUAUUUAGGAAUUGUUGACACUACUCAUAUUUUGCUUAUAGCACUGUUUGAUUUGUUUUGCAUCUAUAUAUUCCAAUUCAUCGAAAACAAAAAUAGAAGCAAAAUAUAUUUUACCUUUUUAACAAAAAUUAACAAAAACAAUUGGUUUUUGCUUAAAUGCAAAAUUUUAAAUUUAUUUAAAAAUUUUUAAGACUAUAACUUUAUUUUUGAAAACAUUUCAAAAUAAGUGACAAAAUUUAAUGUCUUUAUUUUUUUAGAAAAUGUGCAUAAAUAUAUAUUUAGUUUUUACAUGUUAUGAGGGAAACUUCACUGUAUCUGGAAGCCAUAUGCCAAAAGCUUUCAGUUAUCAUCAAUUUAUCUUUGCGUAUAGUAUUGACAAUGAUAGUUCAUGUCAUAAUUCAUCUAAAUGUUCCUUCCCUUGGAACAUUAUUUUCCACAGAUAGUAACAGGACCUGGAACAAAAUAAAAUAGCAGUAUUAUACAUAUUUUCUAUUUCUACAUUUUUCCAUUUCUGGAAAUGGUCAUAAGAUCACUUAAUGACAGAUUAAUAUCAUCCAUGAUCCUAAAUCUCUAAGAAUAAAAGUGUUAGAUUCUUUUGGUAAAGUUGCCAUAAGGACUAAAUUUACUUUUUAACCAAUUCCUUAGAGUAUCAACUGAUUCUUAGUUUUAGAGCAUAUGUAUCACAUCUCCAACCAUUUUGCCACAGUUCUCAUAUUUUUCAUCCUUCGAUAGUGAGGAUGAGAAAACCUGGAUGCAUAUGGAUAUGGUUGAUUUGAAAACAGUUUUUUAAACAUUUGGAAGUUUUUCAAAACCGAAAACAUAUUUGCUAAAUGAUCUUUUUCCCCUACAUUUUAAAUCCAUGUGCAACUUAAAAGAAACUUAGUCCAUAUGGUAGUUCAGAUUCACUUAUAUUAAAAUCAUGAAAAUUAUGUUUAAUAGCUAUUUGACACACAAGAAGCUUUCAAAUUAAGUUUCUUUAAAUUUUAUGUCUUUCAAAACAUAUUUUUUCCCUAUCCACCCUCAGCACUCCUCACUACUUUCCAAGAAAAGAUCAAAUUUAAUUCAAGACCUAUAAAAUUAGAUGUUUUCAAUCUAUCAACAAUGAUUAAGUGAUAAAGAAAAAUGCAUUCAUGUUUUCCCCAUUGUCAGUAGUUUUUUUGUUUCAAUAUCUCCAUGCAAUUUCAGAUGGUUUUAUUUUUUUCAUAAUCAACAUUCUCAGGAAUAAAGUCAAUUUUUGCAUUUGUAAUUUUAAACUUCCUUUACAGUAUAUGAAACCCUUGAGUUUUUUUUUUUAAACACUUUUAAGGUGUUUAAUUACAAAUAAUACCUGAUCCUUGUAUCAGCACAAAUAAUGCAAAAUUGUACAAAGAGAAAAAUGAUCUCUUUUCCCUCAUCUUUUUCCUCCUCCAAUCCCACCUGCACUAAAGUAGUCAACAAUAAAGCUUCUCUGCCCAUCCCUCCAUGCCUUUAGUAGCUGGAUUUAUAUAUUAUGAUUCUUUUUUUCAGGUACAACUAUAAAUGAAUAAAACUGUGUGAUUUAGAACUCAGAGUUGAGAUUUUUAAAUAAUGAGGGAAGGGGAAAUGAGAAAUUAAGUACGCAUAAACUACUGGCGGACAUUUGAAGUCUUGACCACCUACUGGAAAUAAUGAAUAGACAUGCGCUCUGAAAAUGAUAAAGUAUGAAUGAAAAGUGACCGUGUGCUUGCUACUGUUGCAUUAUUUUAAUCUUUCAUUUUCCCAAAGAUGUAUAAAUCAAGGUGAUAUUAUACGUUGUUCAUGUCUAUUACCAAAAUAUUCAUGAAUUCAUAAAUUAAAUUGUGACCAUUGUCAACUCCUUUACAGAUUAAUAAUUAGGUCAACAUAGUGCUCACUGCUCCUGAAUUUCUUUCUAAUAUUGAAUAACUCACACUGUUUUUCAAUGAUAGUAGUAACAUUCAUUAUCAACACUCUGUAUCUUAGGUUGGUGGACAUCGACUGAUAUGCAGUAUUCUGAGAAGUUGGUGGAAGAGAUCUGUGUAGAUUUGUGAAAGACGGUAUUCUGAGGAAGGAUAGAAAAAAGAUAUACGUGUAAAGAAAGAAUGGAUUUUACAUUAUAAUCUGAGCACCCUCAUACUGUAUACAAAAAAAACUCUGUUUUGUGUUAUCAAAAAUAUUAACAUAUGAAGUCAAUUUAUAGGCUAGAGAAAGUCAUAUUUGUAAUAAUAAACACAUGAUAUUUUAACUACAGAAAAUUUAAUAAUAUAGACUUUUUCAUAGCUAUAAAUGUAUAGCUAUAAAAUCUAAAUAUGAAUAAGCCCAUCCAAUGUUUGAUCACAUUACAUUAGAUUUUGCUUAAAAGCAGUGGAAGUACCCUUAUCAUUAGCACAGUGCUUCAUGCUCACUCUUUUUAUUUUUAUCACCCGUUAUUGUGAUUGACAAAGCACAAAGCAUGCUCACACAACCAUCUUCGUGCACCAAGUUGCAUUUAUCCUAGGGUGGACUGCAUAUUGGGUUCCUUCAUCUAUAAACCUUUAUUUCCAAUGCACAAUUUGUAGUCUUGCUGCUGGAAAAAUAUCUGAAUGGUUAUCAAAUCCCUGUCUGUUUCCUUCUCCCCAGUGCACACACCAGUUCUUUGGUUACUGUUACAAGUGUAGCUGUUCUUUAAUUUUUGAUGGAAACUAAUCCACAUUUGCAUCCUUCAGUCUGAUAACCAUUGUCAAAACCCCACCCUCUGAAACCCUUGUUUUGGUUUAAUUUCCUUUUUCUUACAUUUCCUGAAAGAAAUGUAGUUUUGAAAAAGGCAGAUCUUUGAACCUUUAUGGUGCCAGUAUGAGGAAGGAAGUUGAAAAACUUGCUCAUUUAUGUUCAAUUUGGGGAAUGGCUGGGACAUAUUUUCCUCUAUGUACAAUGCAAAGUAGUCACCACCACCAAGUAUUUAAUGGAAAAAAAGAGAAUUCUUUCCAGAUUUUAUCAUAAUUUAAAGUUUUUAUUCCACAAUAGUCCCCAGAUGUUUUGAAAAUUGGAAAACAAAACUUCAAAAAUCAAAAUAUCACUGUUAUUUUUCUAAAAAUGAAGAAUUCAACCCCAAUUAUAGCCAAACCAAACGGAAUAGGAUUUCCACUUUCUAAUUUAAUUUUCAUUUCUGGAUACUGCAUAUGGUAUUUUGUAGAUAUUUGGUUCUCCUCUGGAGAACUUUACCUGAAAAUGAGGUGAACAUUUGUUGUGUGAACACACAGAUCAGUCUGAAGCAACAGAAACAUUCUGUCAUUCUGAACACACUCAGGCUACUUCCUCCCCAGGGUUCAGAUGUAGUUAU
rnacentral:lncRNA from 1 species